rnacentral:rRNA from 1 species
CAGCAGCCACGGGAAUACAGAGGGUGCGAGCGUUAAUCGGAUUUACUGGGCGUAAAGCGUGCGUAGGCGGCUUCUUAAGUCGGAUGUGAAAUCCCUGAGCUUAACUUGGGAAUUGCAUUCGAUACUGGUUAGCUAGAGUGUGGGAGAGGAUGGUAGAAUUCCAGGUGUAGCGGUGAAAUGCGUAGAGAUCUGGAGGAAUACCGAUGGCGAAGGCAGCCAUCUGGCCUAACACUGACGCUGAGGUACGAAAGCAUGGGGAGCAAACAGGAUUAGAUACCCCAGUAGUCCCUGUCUCUUAUAC